CCUACGGGCGGCAGCAGUGAGGAAUAUUGGUCAAUGGGCGCGAGCCUGAACCAGCCAAGUCGCGUGAGGGAGGACGGCCCUACGGGUUGUAAACCUCUUUUGCCGGGGAGCAACGGGCGUCACGUGUGGCGCCACUGAGAGUACCCGGAGAAAAAGCAUCGGCAAACUCCGUGUCAGCAGCCGCGGUAAUACGGAGGAUGCGAGCGUGAACCGGAUUUAGUGGGUUAAAGGGGUGCGUAGGCGGAUCGUUAAGGCAGGGGCAAAAUUGGGGGGCUCACCCCCUUCCCGCCAUUGAAACUGGCGUUCUUGAGUGGAAGAGAAGUAUGCGGAAUGCGUGGUGUAGCGGUGAAAUGCAUAGAUAUCACGCAGAACCCCGAUUGCGAAGGCAGCAUGCCGGCUUCCGACUGACGCUGAAGCACGAAAGCGUGGGGAUCGAACAGGAUUAGAUACCCCGGUAGUC
rnacentral:rRNA from 1 species